GAUGAACGCUGGCGGCGUGCCUAAUACAUGCAAGUCGAGCGAACAGACGAGGAGCUUGCUCCUCUGACGUUAGCGGCGGACGGGUGAGUAACACGUGGAUAACCUACCUAUAAGACUGGGAUAACUUCGGGAAACCGGAGCUAAUACCGGAUAAUAUAUUGAACCGCAUGGUUCAAUAGUGAAAGACGGUUUUGCUGUCACUUAUAGAUGGAUCCGCCCGUCAUUAGCAGGUUGGUAGGGUAACGGCUUACCAAGGCAACGAUGCGUAGCCGACCUGAGAGGGUGAUCGGCCACACUGGAACUGAGACACGGUCCAGACUCCUACGGGAGGCAGCAGUAGGGAAUCUUCCGCAAUGGGCGAAAGCCUGACGGAGCAACGCCGCGUGAGUGAUGAAGGUCUUCGGAUCGUAAAACUCUGUUAUUAGGGAAGAACAAAUGUGUAAGUAACUAUGCACGUCUUGACGGUACCUAAUCAGAAAGCCACGGCUAACUACGUG
rnacentral:rRNA from 1 species